AGUGAACGCUGGCGGUAGGCCUAACACAUGCAAGUCGAACGGCAGCACAGUAAGAGCUUGCUCUUACGGGUGGCGAGUGGCGUACGGGUGAGGAAUACAUCGGAAUCUACUUUUUCGUGGGGGAUAACGUAGGGAAACUUACUCUAAUACCGCAUACGACCUACGGGGGAAAGCAGUGGAUCUUCGGACCUUGCGCGAUUGAAUGAGCCGAUGUCGGAUUAGCUAGUUGGCGGGGUGAAUGCCAACCAAGGCGACGAUCCGUAGCUGGUCUGAGAGGAUGGUCAGCCACACUGGAACUGAGACACGGUCCAGACUCCUCCGGGAGGCAGCAGUGGGGAAUAUUGGACACUGGGGGCAAGCCUGAUCCAGACAUACCGCGUGGGUGAAGAAGGCCUUCGGGUUGUAAAACCAUUUUGUUGGGAAAGAAAAGCAGCAGGUUCAUACACCGCUGUUCUGAGGGUACCCAAAGAAUAAACACCGGCUAACUUCGUG
rnacentral:rRNA from 1 species